GGAGAGUUGGCCGAGCUGGCUGAAGGCGCACGAUUGGAAAUCGUGUAUACGUUUGUAGCGUAUCGUGGGUUCAAAUCCCACACUCUCCGCCA
rnacentral:tRNA from 1 species